rnacentral:rRNA from 1 species
CUGUCAGAACGAACGCUGGCGGCAGGCUUAACACAUGCAAGUCGAACGCCCCGCAAGGGGAGUGGCAGACGGGUGAGUAACGCGUGGGAACAUACCCUUUCCUGCGGAAUAGCUCCGGGAAACUGGAAUUAAUACCGCAUACGCCCUACGGGGGAAAGAUUUAUCGGGGAAGGAUUGGCCCGCGUUGGAUUAGCUAGUUGGUGGGGUAAAGGCCUACCAAGGCGACGAUCCAUAGCUGGUCUGAGAGGAUGAUCAGCCACAUUGGGACUGAGACACGGCCCAAACUCCUACGGGAGGCAGCAGUGGGGAAUAUUGGACAAUGGGCGCAAGCCUGAUCCAGCCAUGCCGCGUGAGUGAUGAAGGCCUUAGGGUUGUAAAGCUCUUUCACCGAUGAAGAUAAUGACGGUAGUCGGAGAAGAAGCCCCGGCUAACUUCGUGCCAGCAGCCGCGGUAAUACGAAGGGGGCUAGCGUUGUUCGGAAUUACUGGGCGUAAAGCGCACGUAGGCGGAUAUUUAAGUCAGGGGUGAAAUCCCGCAGCUCAACUGCGGAACUGCCUUUGAUACUGGGUAUCUUGAGUAUGGAAGAGGUAAGUGGAAUUCCGAGUGUAGAGGUGAAAUUCGUAGAUAUUCGGAGGAACACCAGUGGCGAAGGCGGCUUACUGGUCCAUUACUGACGCUGAGGUGCGAAAGCGUGGGGAGCAGACAGGAUUAGAUACCCUGGUAGUCCACGCCGUAACCGAAGGGUGUUAGCCGUCGGGCAGUAUACUGUUCGGUUGCGCAGCUAACGCAUAAAUCAUUC